rnacentral:rRNA from 1 species
CGUGUAGGCGGCUUGCCAAGUCCGAUGUGAAAUCUCGGGGCUCAACCCCGAAACUGCAUUGGAAACUGGCUUGCUAGAGUCCGGAAGAGGAGAGUGGAAUUCCUGGUGUAGCGGUGAAAUGCGCAGAUAUCAGGAAGAACACCGGUGGCGAAGGCGGCUCUCUGGGACGGUACUGACGCUGAGACGCGAAAGCGUGGGUAGCGAACA